UCCGAGAGAACCGCCUGCUGGGAGAGUGAAUCACUUGGGGAAGAAGCAGGCGGCAGACACAAUAAAGGGGAGGUUCCUUGUGGGGUGUCUGGAAAAUAUGCAUAAGUACCAAGGAGGAAGCCAGGGUUUGGAUGUCUGCCAUACAGAAGGCACCAGUGAGGCCAGCAUGGACUAAGCAGGCCUCGCCACUCAGUGAAUCCUCUGGCCCUAGCUGGACCCCACUCUUUCUGAAGAUCCCAACUUCCAACUCCCAGACCUGUGGAUUCCAUUUCUACUUUGUGACCACCCUGCUUCCAAUCAAAAACUUUUCUCAGCGAUGCCUGCCAAGAAAAAAGCAAGCACAUAUUUAACUACUUUGUGACCAGAGAGUGCAAAGGUCAGCUCUCACAAAGGAAAGGUAAAGGGCGUCAGCACAGCAAGGUCCUUGGAUUCAGCUGUUCCUCUGGAGCUAGGGUUGGUACAAAAGGACUCUGAAACUUACUGGUGUUAAAGAAGACAGAAUAUACUUCCCGGCAGUCCCUGCAGACUGUUGUUGGGUAAUUCUGAGUUUAAAAUCACUCUGACGUGCUCAUGAUUAGGACAACUUUUGAAAUCAGGGCUGGCCUGCAAGUUGAGGCAGGUGUUUCUUCCCUGUUCACAGCAGAUCUAGCCUGAUAAUGCAGAACUUCAAAUGAGGAUGACCUUAAAGAGACACAAAGCUCUUAGUUCAUGUCUGCUGUCACACAGACUCCUGCACAAACCUAGCAGAAAAGUACAAGAAAUGUGUAAAGAAAGGUGGCAUAAAAAUAACCAUGGAAGAGGUUUUGGGAAAUUCGGUCGUAUGCAUAUUAAUGUCAAGCAUAAAAUUGACAGUAUGACACAGAGAGACUCAGAGAGAAAGCAUAUUGCCAAAGAAUAUUUAUAUGACUUCAGGUUUAAUGAGAUCUCUGGCUGGAAUUAUUAAGGAAAGAGAGUUCAGAAAGAAAAGUGUGAUUGCAUUAAGAUUAGAAUCAAUGGAAAGCUUCAUAUUUCAACAUGAACUCUCUUCCGCAGCGCACCACUGUCCAGCUACUGAAUAAGCCUCACAAAGUAAGGUAACACCACUGCACUAAAUGUCACUUAAAACACAGAUUCCACAAUAACUCCAAAAGGAGUAAGUGCUUCACACGGCCAAUCAGUGAGAAAGAUGGGCCGCACUUGACAUUCUGACUUAGGGUGAAAUGUUUCAUAGCCCAUGCCUAGAAAUGGAUAAUUUGGGAUUCAAAAAUAAAACACAUCUUUUUCGGGGAGAAAUUUCAUUACAAUGACAGUCGAGAUAAGUUGCAGAAAAAGAUUAUAGGACUGGCUUUUCCUCUCAGUCGUCGGCGCACCUUACCCUACCCAGUGUCUCCAGGCUGAAGCCUUUCCUUAGGCUUCUUUGUCACACAGCCUCCAGGAAGGAAGGAGAGAGUGGAGAGAUCUGUUAGGCUCUUGAUCAAUCACCCUCUUGUAUUACGAAGCAGAUGUGGCCUUGUGCAUUACAAAGCAGUGGGAGGCUUCUGGCUUGUGUGGUCCUGUUCAGCAAAGCUUGGGUGCACACAGGCAAAUGCAAGCCACCUUAUGCAGGUGAUUAAUGCAGGUUGUGUUUGCCUUUUCUACAGCUAUUUGAGGAAUUGAGAUGUGAGACUGUCACAUGAUUUUCUAUCUGAUAGUUGACAUUUUUGGAAAUGCUAUACUUAUCAUGCAAUGCAGCUAGUCAGUUAAUACAGACGGAGAGUCUGAAAAAGAAGCUAUUUUUAUGCCUCUCUAGACAUGUGUAGUUUAAGAUAUUUUAUUCUGCUCAUCUUAGAUCAAAUACGAGAUGAAGAAAUCUCCUCUUUCAUUCACUGACAGGUGAACCAAGAGAAAGGACACACACCAAGACUCACAGGUUCCUCUGUGGUUUCAUAGAUUUGACUUUUGUAAUUCAAGCUGCAUCUGGAUGAAUGAAUUCAAAAUGCCAUUCAGAUACCAUCUUCUAAAGAGAUGAAAAGCUGCUAGAUAUACAAAGUAAGGUAACACUAAAGAAAAGUAUAGACUGUAACUAGGAGGUGAGAUUGUUAGAGUUUACCCAUAAAGGAAUGUCUCUGUCUCACUCCAAUAUAAAUCUUGAAGGAGGUGUUUUCUUCUAGGGAAUACACACUUGCAGUGGUUUUAAGAGCUCACCCAGGACAUCUGAAAGCAAUUUGCUGCUCUGCUGUGUUUUCCCUGGUGCACUGCCCGUGCUCAGUGCCCUCUCCUCAUCCCUUCCCGAAGUGACAUCUUUUACAUGCUUGCAUGGGCCUGGGCUGCCUGAGUCCCAUUCCACAUCUCCCUUGCUAGGUGGUGAGAAUAGAAAACUACUUCCUCCUUACACAGAAGUCAACACACUACUCCAGAUUCAGUAAGGAAAGCAGAGACCAUGGUAGGUAUUUCAAACAUGAGGAAUUUAACACAGGGAAUUGUUUACAAAGGAACAGCAAGGGCUGGUGACGUGGUGCCAUCUGGAAGCCCCUAAUGCUUCUGGGCUCGCAUCUAUUAUCUUGUUUCUGAGCAGCAAAUGCUGUUGUUGCUUCAGGGACUGAAUUUUCAGAAUUGCCCCUCCCUAGCUCAUAGUGCAAGUAACAAAAAGUUUCCACUGCUGAGGCUGCUGAAUUUGCAGUUAUGCCACCCUCACUGCUGCAACAGCAGCUACAGCUGUUUUUAGAAGUAGAAAGUUUCUCUCUUGCUCCAUCUUCCAGUCUUGCCCGGAGUUUGGGAUUAGCAGAUACUAACAGGAAGCCACUGGCAAGGAAUGUGAGAAAUGCAACUUGCGACCUCCAGAUCUCCAACGUUAAGCAGUAUAGAGUAGGUAAUAAAAAGGGUGUGUAUGAAUCUGAGAUACCAAGUAAGGUAACAGCAAAGAUUAAAUAAGGUAACAUAACAGAUAGCUAAUCAACACAGCUUGCUACAAAGCAAAGCUUCCCAAACUUUCUUUGGAACAUAGCUCAUAUUGAACUUGGGAUAAAUGGAGGAGAUUUGGGGUUCUAUGAAGCUUGGGAAAAAAUAUCUAUCAUAUCUUAUAUUAUAACUAUGGUAAAUAUGCAGAAUAAAAAAUAUAAGUAGAGAUAUUAGAUGUUGAAUUCAUCUUAGAUUUCCAAAUAAAAUGUUUUGACAUAUCA